AUUGAACGCUGGCGGCAGGCCUAAUACAUGCAAGUCGAGCGGAGCGGCGGACGGGUGAGUAAUGCCUAGGAAUCUGCCCGGUAGUGGGGGAUAACGUCCGGAAACGGGCGCUAAUACCGCAUACUAUCAGAUGAGUCUAGGUCGGAUUAGCUAGUUGGUGGGGUAACGGCCUACCAAGGCGACGAUCCGUAACUGGUCUGAGAGGAUGAUCAGUCACACUGGAACUGAGACACGGUCCAGACUCCUACGGGAGGCAGCAGUAGGGAAUAUUGGACAAUGGGCGAAAGCCUGAUCCAGCCAUGCCGCGUGUGUGAAGAAGGUCUUCGGAUUGUAAAGCUCUUUUAGUUGGGAGGCGUUACCAACAGAAUAAGCACCGGCUAACUUCGUGCCAGCCGCCGCGGUAAUUC
rnacentral:rRNA from 1 species